AGUGAACGCUGGCGGCAGGCCUAAUACAUGCAAGUCGAACGGCAGCACAGCAGAGCUUGCUCUGUGGGUGGCGAGUGGCGGACGGGUGAGGAAUACGUGGGAAUCUGCCCAGUCGUGGGGAUAACGUAGGGAAACUUACGCUAAUACCGCAUGCGCCCUUCGGGGAAAGCCGGGGACCUUCGGGCCUGGCGCGAUUGGAUGAGCCCACGUCGGAUUAGCUAGUUGGCGGGGUAAAGGCCCACCAAGGCGACGAUCCGUAGCUGGUCUGAGAGGAUGAUCAGCCACACUGGAACUGAGACACGGUCCAGACUCCUACGGGAGGCAGCAGUAGGGAAUAUUGGACAAUGGGCGCAAGCCUGAUCCAGCCAUGCCGCGUGAGUGAAGAAGGCCCUCGGGUUGUAAAGCUCUUUUGUCCGGAAAGAAAAGCGCCAGGUUAAUACCCUGGUGUCCUGACGGUACCGGAAGAAUAAGCACCGGCUAACUUCGUGCCAGCAGCCGCGGUAAU
rnacentral:rRNA from 1 species